UAUGAACAAAAUGAGACGAGUCUUCUACGCACUCCGUCUUCGUCAAAAGAGAUCGUCGGGUACCUGUCUAAUGCGAACCUGAGAAUACAAGCGGUUUGAAAAUCAGCAUAAAGCUGGUGAGUUCAUAAGCGGUUAGUUUUCUGAAAAUGUACGAGUUCCUUUAGUUUCCUGAAAAAGUGGUUAUCCAAGAAAAUCCCAUAUUUUCUUAAAAGUUGGUUACCAAAUCCAAAAUGUAAUGUAAAAGAUGUACACUGAAAACAUGAUUGUUCUUGUGAAUUGUAAAGUUUGGUUAUCUAACUUGUUACACUUUUCUGGUUACGUACUACUGUUACCUAGGAAAAUCCUAUAUUUUCCUACAUGUGUGUGUGUGUGAACUGUUACUAAUUCUGAUUAUGUUCAAUGUUAUCCCCUGGAAAAUCCCAUAUUUUACUGAAUGUGUGUGUGUACGAAUUGUUACCGGUUCUGAUUAUGUUCAAAGUUAUCCCCAGGAAAAUCCCAUAUUUUCUUGAAUGUGUGUGUGUGCGAAUUCUCCUGAAAGUCUGAUUAUCCUUAAAUGUACAUUAGUUUUAUUACGUACAUAAAACUAAUAAUUAAGUGUGAAGUGUUCAUAAUCUUGAUUGCGAGUCCUUAACCAUACUUCAGACUUGAUAUGACUCGGGCCAGGGCCAGUAUCCAUUUUAUGACUUUCAUCACCCUUGAACCUUUCGGUUCGGCUGUAGCUAGCAGCCAGGUGUGGGAUUGUCAGUCCCGUAUAGAUCUAUACACUCAAGUCACGUUCUCCCUCCUAGAGAUUCUGGUUACAGGGGUAGUCCUCCACUCUUUCGUGCCAAGGAAGUGUUACAAAGGACGUGUCUCCAAUAUUUAAGAUUACUCUUUACUUCUCGUGUCUAGGGAAGUAGUAUCUAUAACUAACUAAGUUCUAAUGGUGCUACUCCUUUACACUCGAGCCUAGGUGUUUUAUUAAGGACAUUACAAAUGUUUUAUAUUUUCAAAUGGUGUAUGUCCUUUAUACUCGAGCCUAGGGUGUUUUAUUACAGUCAUUACAGUUGUUUUAUGAUCUCUAUCAAUAUAAGUGUGAACAAUCAAUUGUGAAGUAUACAACAUAAUAGUAUAUAAUAAGAAUUGAAAAUCGGUUUGAACAAACAACUCUGCAAGUUAAAAACAAUUUGUUAAUAGGUUUUCAAUUCUUAAAAAUGUACGAAUUAUGGAACCAUGUAAAUGAAAUCAUGAAUUUAAGUACAAGAUAUUCUUGUACUCUUGCUUGUAUUCCCCCCUUGAAAACAUUGAAAAAAAACAUUGAAAAAGGGUAGGGGUAUGAACUCACAGACGAGAAAACGUGUCGGUUCGGACGCUAAGUGUCGGUUCGAGGCUUGAUAACACGCGAGGUUCCUAUGUAAUAUGAAAUGGUAUACAAAUAUAUUUAAUUAGAUUUUAAAUUACUAAUUAGAUAUGAUAAUACACUCCAAUGAACGAAAACACUUCAAAACGAUUGUUUGGAGUGACCCGGGUGACAUAUACGGGCGUGUAUUGAUGCGUGGGACUUGGGAAUUGAGUUUGCUCUUCAAGAGUAAACUCCUUAUGGAGUUUUCAACCUCUUAUACUAUACACACAUGAGUUCACGGCCGUGAACUCAUGUUUGGGUGCUUUAUGGUGCUAAAAUGGUCCAAUACACUUGGGAAGAGUUGGUACAAUUUUAUCUAAGGCAUGGGAUGGAAAUUAAAUGAUCAAUAACAUCACUUAAGGGAGUUUACGGCCCUAAACAUGGAUUUUACGGCCGUAAACUCAUGUACCCCCUUAGAUUGAUGAUUUAAUGGCCUUAGGUUAAUCACAUGUGAUUCCAAUAAUUUUUACAAGCCUUGGUAUGAAUUUAGGGCACCGAAUGACUCAUAUUUAGGAGUUUACGGCCCUGGAACAUAUUCUUAGGGUGUGAUGGCCUUAAACACCUAAUUGGAGGGUGUUUGACAUGUUUAAGGUCCCCAAACUAUUUUUAGAUGAUUAUAGGAUUUAUUCCAAGGCUAUUGGUGAAGUUAUAUGGCUUUUUAACACUAGAAAAUGAGUUUACUCCCCAUGUAUGAGGAGUUUAUGGCCCAAGCAUGUUCUUGGGCAGUAAACUCAAGUUUGCUCCUCAAAAUUUAUGUUUAGGGUGCUCUAAGUCCGGAUUUGUAAGCCAUAUAGUCGUAUCUAAGUCCCAAAAUUGAUUUGGAGGGGUUUAAUUGCUUAAAACCCAAGUUUUUAGGUGUUUACGGCCCAAGCAUGCUCCUUGGCCGUAAACACAUGUUCCAGGUCCAAAGUGAUAAUUUAAACACGAAUUUGAAGGCCUAAGAGGUUAAACAACAAGUUGGGGAUGUUACCUCAAAGAUUCGGAGCCUUAAUUCAAUGUUUUGGACCUUGAAUCUUUGGUUGAGGAGAGAGGUUAGAGAGAGAGUAGUGAGAUGAAGCAAAAGCUUCAAAUGGAAGUUUAGAACACUUUAAAUAGUGUUCGGGAUUUGGAAACGGUGGAAUUUUACCCGAUACCGACUUUAGACGGGGCUUUUGGUCGCACCCGAUCAAUUUGCCGUAACUCGAUAUGGUUGAUUCUAGAAAUGUUCCGAUCACUAAUAUGAGGUGUUAGAAUGAGUUCUAAUGGUAUUAGGACACCCAUUAAGUCAUAAUAUAAAAUAGACGUUAAUGACUUAAUUAAAUGACGGAAUCGAAAACGAAAUUGGAAACGGCGAUUGGAUUAUCGAAAUGAGUUACGAAAAGGGGUACAAGCAAUGAAGCGAAAUUUCGGGUUGUUACAUUAUCCCUCCGUUAGAGGGAAUUUUGUCCCGAAAUUCAAAGAUUUGAACACAUAUCGCGAAGUGAAAAGAGAUAUGAGGAUGAAUCUACUGCUUCGGUUCUUCAUGCUCCUAAGUGGAAUCGGGUCUCCGCUUGACAUUCCAGCGAACCCUCACUGUCGGGAUGCGGCUUUGUUUUGAACGGUAAACCUAUCAAUCCAUGAUCUCAAUUGAUUCAUUCAUGAAGGUUCGGACUUCCGAUGAUUUCGAUCUCAUCAAAGGGAUUACUAGGGUUUCGUCAUGUCGGCACUCCUUACGAAUAACGACGUGGAAUUCCAAAUGGUUGUUGUUGAGUUUUGAAGAUAACUCGGAGAGGGCUAUGGAAUCGAUUCCUAACGAGGAUCUCGAAGGGUAUAAUGUUCCACGAGUUAAGUUUUCCACACUUCUCAAAGGCGUAAUAUGUCUUUCCAGAGUAAGACUUACAACAAGUGGGUACAUUUUCACACGACAGAGUAGCUAAGGGUCCGAUGGUUCUAAAGGAAUUUCUAGGCAGUUUUGCAAUAAUUAGUCGGUGGGACCCAAGAGUUGACGGGUUUCUAUGGGUACCCCCGGUGCCGACUAAUUCUUUAUUGCCUUAGCUUUUGGAAAGGUCCAUGAGUAUGACUGCUUUGCUAAUCUACAUGAUCAGGAAAAUGGUUUGACCGAAGGGCACCACUACUACCUCGUAGUGAUCAUAUCAAGCCCUGGUUGCUGUCUUGGACACAUCGUCCUCACUAAGGUUUUGGCUACAAGGUAAUUCCAGGGAUUAAGUCGAUGCGAGACUUGACUAUGCAUUCGGAAAGAAUUCUCAAGAAUUCUUCGGAAAAUGGCAUCGGGAAAGAGCUGUAGACUUCUCGUUCUCGAUGAUCACACGGACGAGGAAUACAUGGGAAAAUUUUUUUAGCUUUGAUGCACGAAGACCAUGAGAGUCGGGUCAGAGGAAAGCUAAGACAGAUGGCUUUCUCGAAAUUAAGAACAACAACAUGUAUGAGGCUCGUUCAUUACAUGCCACAGAUGGCAUUUAAGCAUUUCAUGAAAAGUUAGCCAUUAGAUCGAAUGGAAAAGAAUAAUUGUUCGGAUUGAGGAUACAAUCUACGGAUAUGACGUUAGCGUUCUCAUUCUCACUUGAUAAUCAUCUCGACAGUAUACGUUUUCGAUUACUCACGAACGACAGGGUUUAAAAGAUGUUCAAAUGGAUGGUCAGCGAAUUUCUUUCAGUGCUAGAAUCGAAAAGAAUCACAGGCAUAAAAUUUAACGAGGGGAAAUAUACCUGUGCCAACGGUGGGGUCGGUGGUUGUCUCCUCUUGUCCUAUCGCUAGAACUCUUCCGGUGUUGCUAGAUGUUACUGCCUUGGGGCAGUUUCGUUUGAAAUUUCCAACUUCUCCACAACAAUAGCAGGCCCGACCAAUGCCCGCUCCAGAAGUUUGACUCGCUGAUUGAGUUGGUGUCUUAUAGUUUUCGCCAUGUGACCCUUUAUGCCACAACUGUUGCAAAACACCUCUAUACAUGGACCGGAAGGAAGGUGAUGGUAGUUGCACUUGUCACAACUAGGAAGGGUUCCAGCGUACCUACUGGCAGGUUUUCGAGUUGAGGAUCCAACAACAGAAACAAUUACAGGGGAAGUGGCAACAUGCACUGCCACCGUUUGCUGCCUCUUUGAAGACUCCUGCGAUGUCUGACUUUUCUCCUUCUUCCCAAUUUUUCUUUUCUCACCACUCCUUUCUGUCGGCUCAGGAGUGGUAGCUGCCUCCUCAAGGUCCUCACUAUGAUCGAUUAGGAUUUGUGCUAGGUGUUAUGUAUCCGGCCUCGCAGCUAUGACGUUUCCUUUCGUUGGCUGGGUCAGCCCCCAGAUGAAUCUCUCUAUCUUCUUACUCCCCGGGGUAACCAUUCCCAGGCAGAGUAAUGCUAAGCCAUCGAACCUGGAAGUGUAAGCGAUGAUAUCGAAACCCUUCAUCUUCAGGUUCCAGAGUUCGUGUUCUAACUUCUGCAUUUCGCCCCGAGGGCAGUACUCAGCCAGCAGAAGUUCCUUCAUGGCUUCCCAUCCCAUGGUGUUGGCUACAGGUAAGGUUAGGGAUUUGACUCGGCCGUUCCACCAAGUCAGAGCUUUGUCAAUAAAGGUGCAGGCGGCAAACUUCACCUUGUCUGAUUCUGAGCAGGCUCAAAUUUCAAAGAUGGAUUCGAUCUUCUCGAACCAUCUGGUGAGGGAAAUGACACUUCCAAUGCCAUCAAAGGACGUGGGUUUUGCUUUCAUGAAAUCUUUAUAGGAACUCCCUUUUCGGUGUCCCUGACUGCUUUCUUGGUUUUGGGUUUGGGUACCACCUCCCGAAUCACCGGAACCGCCAGAGUUUCGUUGAGACAUGGCAGCGGCCACUGCGGCUAUAACAGCUGCCUGGAAUACUACAUGAUCAAUUUGGGGAGGAGGUGGUGGCGGAGGGUUGUUGGUCUGGAGCUGGGUCUCUUUCUGGGAGGUAUCUUGGUCUAAUAAGAUCAAGAAAGAGAGGAUGAUAAGUCCUCUGAAUUGAAUCAAGAGAUAUGACAGAUAUAUGCUGAAUAAGCGAUAAAGCAGGGAAAUAGUUAUUAAAGCAAGAAAAUUAUCGCUAAGGGAAUGAUUAAAGAACAAUUCAUGAACGAGGAUUUCUACCAAGGAUCGGCUCGAGAAAUACUCCCAUAGUAUUUCAUGGUUCGCUACGACACUGGCUCGAUGUUUGUGGUAUUAGGGUAGGUUAUAGGCAUGUCGCAUACCACAGUCACUCCCAAACACAUGUUGGUCGUGUCUCGAAUGAAUAUAGUUGGCCAGGCUGUAUUGACCCUAGACACGACUACAUAACUGCCUAGGUUUAACCGCAGUACACAACACCCAUUUACUUAUGUUUUGUUCUACUUGUAGUUACGGAUCUCGACGAUUCGGUAUACUUAUAUACUUUUGAAAAUACUUAUAUUUUUUUAUGGAUACUUUUAGUUCAGAGCACUUAGGCCCCUUAAUGUUUAUAGUUUUAUACCAUGUAAGGUUUGGUAUACUUCAUUCACUAUAAACAAGGGCUCUGAUACCAAUAUGUAACACCCCGAAAACCGAAGGCGGAAACAUUUCCGGGGUUGACUCCACGUUGAGUAUCAAAUCCAAUGUGCAUAGUAAGUAAAGUAAAUCAACCAUUACAUUACAUAUAUGAAAGUUUUACAUUCGUUUCAAAAGCAUAAGUUAUACAAGUGAUACAUAUCAUAUAUAAACAACACGAAACGAGUCUUCUGAGAACUCCGUCUUCAAACAAGAAGAUCUUCGGGUACCUGUCUAACGUGGACCUGAGAAUACAAGCGGUUUGAAAAUCAGCAUAAAGCCGGUGAGUUCAUAAGCGGUUAGUUUUCUGAAAAUGUACGAGUUCCUUUAGUUUCCUGAAAAAGUGGUUAUCCAAGAAAAUCCCAUAUUUUCUUAAAAGUUGG
rnacentral:lncRNA from 1 species